rnacentral:rRNA from 1 species
CCUACUCCUACGGGAGGCAGCAGUGGGGAAUAUUGCACAAUGGGCGCAAGCCUGAUGCAGCGACGCCGCGUGAGGGAUGACGGCCUUCGGGUUGUAAACCUCUUUCAGUAGGGAAGAAGCGAAAGUGACGGUACCUGCAGAAGAAGCGCCGGCUAACUACGUGCCAGCAGCCGCGGUAAUACGUAGGGCGCAAGCGUUAUCCGGAAUUAUUGGGCGUAAAGAGCUCGUAGGCGGUUUGUCGCGUCUGCCGUGAAAGUCCGGGGCUCAACUCCGGAUCUGCGGUGGGUACGGGCAGACUAGAGUGAUGUAGGGGAGACUGGAAUUCCUGGUGUAGCGGUGAAAUGCGCAGAUAUCAGGAGGAACACCGAUGGCGAAGGCAGGUCUCUGGGCAUUAACUGACGCUGAGGAGCGAAAGCAUGGGGAGCGAACAGGAUUAGAUACCCUGGUAGUCCAUGCCGUAAACGUUGGGCACUAGGUGUGGGGGACAUUCCACGUUUUCCGCGCCGUAGCUAACGCAUUAAGUGCCCCGCCUGGGGAGUACGGCCGCAAGGCUAAAACUCAAAGGAAUUGACGGGGGCCCGCACAAGCGGCGGAGCAUGCGGAUUAAUUCGAUGCAACGCGAAGAACCUUACCAAGGCUUGACAUGAACCGGAAAGACCCUGAAACCAUUCCCC